CAGCCAGUGCCGCUAGAAUAGAAGGAUCGGGGGGGCGAGGGCGAGCAGCGGACCCGCCCUGAGGGCGCGCUCACUUUUCGUUUUUUUUUUUUGGUGCCUUCCUCUUCCGCAUCCGCGCAUCUGUGUGCUCUUAACUUCACGCACGCUCUGGCUCAGAAACGCGCAUGAGCGCCUACAUGCUCGCAGGUACAGACACCGGUGCAGGCGCCGAGGCAACACCCUCGCCCGUCACUGGUUCAACGCACAGGCCCCUGUGUUAUGCACCUCGUCGUGCCGCAUGCCCAUCAGCACACCGUCGUUGUGAUCCUCCUCAUACACCGACAUGGACGCACAAGCCAAGCAACACCUCCCUCUCCCCACGGGUGCCAGGGAGGCCGCUCUUUUCAGUUGCUGUAUGGAGGAGAAGGGGAGUUGGACAACGCUGCUGCUGGCUCUCUCGAGGAAGGGGAGGAAGGACACGACCGUUCAUCCCUCACCUGCUUGCUUCGGUCGGUAGUUUUCCCCGUCACCCGUUGCACCACGCACCCCGCCUCAUGCUCAUUUCUUCUUUGCGCAUCCCCUCGCCCCCUCCGGUGUUCUUCCUCACUCCCCUGCGACGAGACCGCGGUGAAACAACGGCAGCAAGUGGAGGCGGAGGCGCGGCAUCCAUGCGCAAGUGUGUGAUGGGGUAGCCGACCGAUGGAGGUCAGCAUUUCUUUCAUUUUUUUUGGCAUAUGUUUGCAUGCAGAGCCCUCGUCUCUUUGCCCCCCCCCCCCCCCCCUCCCCGUGGACAGUGUUCGAGGGUCUCUUUCUCUCCCUGUUUCCACCCUGAAGUUGCGCAGAUGUGCGGCAGCUGUUGUGAGAGAAGGAUGAGGUGGGAAGGGAGGGGGUGACAGGCCUGUUCGCCUUGGCGACUUGGAAAGAGGGGUGCGGGGACGGGUGGCCAGCCACGCGGGGCUGGAGGGGGGCGGGCGGGGGUUUGGUGGGGCGGCCAGCGUAUCCCACGGCGCGCGGUCAAAGUGUUCUGUGGUGCACCCUGCUGGAAGGAUUUCUUGAGCUGAAGUGCAAGAAGCACCCCAGCAACGUGCUGGAGGCCGUUCUGAGCUGCAGUGGCGAUGUGCCACCGGUACACCGUUUUCCGUGCUUGGACGAGCUGCUUUUCACCCCAGCCGCCCCUCUCUCCUCGAAGGCGGCUCCUGCUUUCUCCACUUCCCCUCAGUGUCGACCUAGUGUGUCUGUGUGUGCGGGCUCAGAAGCGCUCGCCUCCUUCCGCCUCCCUCCUCAUGUCUCUUUCUCUCUUGUACCGCGUUUUUCCAUUCAUGCGUCUGCUCGGGCAGACUGCCCGCUGCUCGGCGGUCCGCCAAACGUGAGCAUCUUCCUGCCUGCUGUCUCACUUCUAUCAUUGCGGCGUGCAACUGACUGGGGUGUUUGCCAGUGCGUGUGUGCGCCUGCUGAUGUAUGCAUGUGUGUGUGUAUCUGUUUAGCGUGCCAUAGCAACGCGUAGGUGAGUUUAGGAGAGUCGUCCUUCCACCCAUCCCCUGCACAUGAACGUGUACUCACGGAUGUGCACGCUAGGCGGCUUUGCCUCGCCUUCUUGUCACCCGAAUGGGGAGGGGGAGGGGGCGCACGCAGGCGACCCACUGUGCGUAUGAGAGGCGGGCUGUGCUUGGCGGGUUCGGCUUUGCGCACAAAAGGAGGAUCGACGAAGGCUGCGGCGGAGAGCCGCUGGUGCGCGUUUGCCAACGAGCUAGCCUCCGCGCAUCGUUUCUCGGUCACUGCACUGAGCCUCGAGCUGCGAGAGAGGUGUGAUGUGGGAGAUGACGACUCUGGGUUGCUAACCCCUCCGUGCCCGAAAAAGCGGCGCGAUGUGAGGCACCACUGCAUACUUCCCCACCUUCCGUUGCUGGCGUGCUUGACAUGUGCAGCGCCACGACUAGUAUGCUUCCAGCAGGGCUCGCCAUGGAAGACGCUGCAGCCCCUCCCCAGCCGCCAUUUCCUUUGCUGCUCGUCCUGGGUCCCUACGAGACCCUCAGCGGUGCGCGACGGCUGGCGGUGCCGCCUGCGUCCCUGCACGCCUCGGAAAAGGG
rnacentral:misc_RNA from 1 species